GCUAUCACAUGACAAUCGCCUUGGGAGGAGGGGGGCUGGGAGAAAGGCAUAAUCUGGUUUCAUUUACACCUAUUUACAUGGACACCUUGGGCCAAUAGAAAUCAUUUCCAUUUGAAGACAGUGCAAAGGGGUGAAAAGGCUCGGCAACCGGAAUUGAACUGCGAUGGCACCCGGUUACAGUGUGUGAAGGGCUCACCAAGGGCCACCUUUCCGCUUGGCGAGUUUACAAUGCGAUUGACCACACACGAGCUCGCGGAUUUGCUCAUAAUUUAUGCAAAUUUUCCACCAUAAAUCCACCAACGAGACCCAUGUCUGCUCUGAGAGAUUGCGAAUAGAAUCAUUGCAAUAACGCAUUGUUUAUUUUGAUGCCUGUUUGGAAGAUGCAUGAGGAAAAGAAAAGGGCCAAUGGAUUUCACUUUUCCAUGCUUCUUUCACUUGAAGUUUUCCAGAGUUCUUCCGAGGGAAGCAGCGUCGAUGUGAAAAAGCAAGUAUUCUUCAAUGAAUCUGUCCCUGAAUUCUGACAGUGCGACACGAAGGAUCCGACACCUUCAGUGAGAGAGAGGGAGAGAUGGUGUUUGCGUGUGUCUAUAGCGCUCAAAAAAAAAAAAAAAAAACAUUUAUUUCUCUGCCCAAAUGUUUACCCAGACAAUAAACAAUAGAAAAACAACUACGUGACUUGUCCUAGUGUUCGAGGAAAGAAAGGAUGCACUUGAAAAUAACUAAUGCAGGGAAAAAUAGCGUUUUAAAAUACAUCUGAAUAAAAUAAAUGCACAACGUUUGUAGCUGAGGCGAGAUUGUCUCAAACUUUUAAUAUAAAUUGUAAUAGUUUAGAAAUCUACAACAUACUGAUAAAAAUAGGUCCACUGUUGUUAAAACCGAGA